GACAGAGGGUGCAAACGUUGUUCGGAAUUACUGGGCGUAAAGCGCGUGUAGGCGGCCCUGCAAGUCGGGUGUGAAAUCCCACGGCUACAACCGUGGAAGUGCACUCGAAACUGCAGGGCUAGAGUCCUGGAGAGGAAGGUGGAAUGCUUGGUGUAGGAGGUGAAAUGCGUAGAGAUCAUGAGGAAGACCAGUGGCGAAGGCGGGUCUCUGGACAGUUCCUGACACUGAGACACGAAGGCCAGGGGAGCAAACGGGG
rnacentral:rRNA from 1 species